GAACCACAGAAUCAUUCUGUAAUUUCACAGGAAUGAACCAGGGAGGUGAGUGACUUCAGUACCUUCAAAGCUCUUGUCUAAACUUCCAGUCCUCUUGAACAGCUGAUCAAAGUGAGGCCUGCAGUAGAGCACUCCUUCAAACGAGUUGUAGUUCGCGAGCUGCAGCGGAAGCAUCAUCACGAUGCAUAUUCUGGCUGGGCAGUAUCAAGAAACCCCCCUGAUCCCCAGGUCCCCAACCACUGAUGCAUACCUUGAGGGUGCCCUUGCAAUGGUGGCACCGGAAGCAGGCCUUGUGGUAGACCCUGUUGUCGGCGGUGAGCUUGUCGACCAGGUACACCGUCUUGUCGCACGCCAUGCACUUGGUCGUCGUCCCCUGAAAGGAAGUCGCCAUUGCCCAGCUCCCUCACCUUCUUCUUCCCUCUCUCUCCCUCUCCCUCUCUGCUUGUGCUUUCAGUGUCCAAGAAAAACGACCCCUCAGCCCUUGAGCUCCUUAUGGUUAUAUGUGAAUGGUGUCGUGGUUGGUGGUGUCCUGGCCUGCAGUCAUUGAUCCUGCAGGGAGGAGGAGGAGGAGGAGGAGGACAGCGAACGCAAGCAGGCACAGGCAAGGACAGCUUGGUAGACAGGGAAUAUUGGGGGUGUCAGGAUGGGGUGUGUAGGAGAGGAGAGGAGAGUAGGGUGGUGCGAGGUGUGGGGGCCGGCCGGCCUGACAUGAACGGGAGAAAGGGCAUAGUGGUGUGGUGGUUGUGGAAAUUCUUUUGCGGAGUGGCUAAGCAAAAUCCAGCCAGCACAAAUUGGCCAUGACUGCUCGUGACAUGGGAGUGAGAAACUGAGAAAAUACUUAGUGACAAUCAUUAGAGAGAUAGGCAAGGAUAUGGGGAGGGAUGUCUCCUUUGUUUAAGUUGAUAAAUUAUUUUUUAAGUAAAGUUUACUUUGGACCACCUUUAUUAACCAAAGUUUCACAAUGGACUAGAAGUAAACCUAACUUUCCACAUAACACCACAUAUAAUUACCAUUGUUGCACUUUGGACUAAGGUUCACAAUUUGGGGCUUUAUUCUUGCUUUAGCCAAGCUACAAAGCAGCAGCCGAUGGAGUAUCGGGCGACAUAAAAGAUCGGUAUGGCAGCAAUUGGGUAUUGCAUCGUGCUAGAUAAACGAUCAGUGCAAUGAUUUGUUCUUGCAUUUCGGUAUUUUACAAUAGUGUGUUAAAAAAAUAAUUUUGUGUUUUCAUAUUUGGUGGCAAGAACUUCGAUGGUGGUGGAAGCCCUCAUAUUGGUUCUCAUAGUUUAUGGCAGCAAAUAGACAAAAUUCGGAGCCAACCCACAUUGUUCUUGCCAGCAUGGCAGCUCAAGUUAUCUAGCCCCGGUCCAAAGUGCAAAGAAUAGUAAGCAUAUGUGGUGUUAAGUGAAAAGAUUAGCUUACCCCUAGUUCAUUGUGAAACUUUGGCUAAUAAAGAUGGUUCAAAGUGAAAUUUACUCUCUUUUUUUCUCGAACACGCAGGAGAGAUGCACAUCAUUCUAUUAAGAAGAAGAAAAGUAGUCCGAAAUGACUCGUAAACGCCCAUUAAGGCAAAUUAGAGGGAGGGGGGUGAUGUUGAUCAGGUGAUGGGUGAUUUGGAACAGGAGAACGCAGUUGAGUGAAAGGUGAAGGACAACUGAUUGCUAGGAUUGCUACAUCUUGAGGGGAUUUGGGAGGUAGAUUAUUAGCUAGGAUUGUGAUAUUCUUUUUUGUUGAAGUUAGCUUAAGAAGAUAGCUUGGUGAUCUUGGCAAAAAGAUUAAAACUGCUUUGAGGAUCUAACCUGCUUGAUUGGAACUUGGUGCCACACCAUGUGCUCCUGAACCAAGGAUGAUGUGCCUGCAGCCUUUCUAUAUUCACGUCCUUUGGUUGCUUCUAGUGAAAGUGAAAACUUAUUUUUACUAUUUCCUUUUUUUAAAAAAACUUUUCAUGGGAAUGAGUUUGCUUCUAGUGAAAGUUGAAAGUAAUGGAUUCGGAUUUCAUUUGGUUUUCUAGGUUAUCACUAAUUUUAUUCUUUAUAGGGUACAUGUACUGUUGUACUCUUUUUUUCAUUAUCUUCCCAUGUUGUACUCAUAAUAUCUGUGCAUAAAUGAGCUAGGUGAUGGUACUAGCACAGGUUAUGUAACUUAGAUCCAAUAAAAGAAAUUGCACAGCUGAAUAACCAGCAUCUACAUUUCACUCGACAUUUUAUUUUUGGUGCAGGCCCUCAACAGUUCUUUCUAAAAUACAUGCCAUUGCAUUCUUGCCUGUUUGGGUCAUACAGAAUUAGCAUUCUACUACUUAACUGAUAUUUUAACAUUGCAGGCCAUACAUUCAUACAUGCCCAUCAGUCAUCAGGUGUAAUGCUGAUCAACAACAGAUUCUGUCGACAGGGCCACCACAACGGACAUGAAAGAUGGUGAUGCACACACAUUUGCAUGAAUCGGUGAUGAUUUGAUGAGUGAGUGUGUGUUAUGGGGAGAAAGAUAGUGAUAUGUUGUUUGGUUGUGAUGUGCUGUAUGCUGUUCCUGUCGGUAGGCCAUGUAAAGCCAGCUUUCUCGCUGAAAAGAAAUUGAUGCAGCUUAAUCA